GUCACACUUUGGUAGUAAAGAUUUAUAACAGGCGGAAUAAUAUAUUCAAAAAAUAUUUGUAGUGAAAUGCCACUUAAUCUAUGACUGCUAGUAUAUAUCAUUAAAUAAACGACCAAGGUAAACAAGGAUUAGAGACCCUUCUAUAUAGUCGCUAACAAAAAUACGCGGGGUACUACAACUACAAGAGUUAAAACUCAAACAACAUGGCGGUAAUUUUAAACUCAGGGGAACUUACUUGAUAAUUGAUAACCACCAAGGUAAAUUAACUUAAGGUCAUUCUUGUAUGCCGUCGUCUUCAGGUAAGACCUCAAGUAUUAUCUUAAACGUACUAACGUAAAAGACAGAUCAAGGUGCAGACAAUCCUUAAGAUAAAGCGAGUUACAAUUUUUCUUACUAACCAUAAACAGAAACAACAUCUGCUAUAGGUAGGACUUGACAGUAACUUAUAUUAUAAAUACUACGUGAACACAUAAAAUUGUGCACAA
rnacentral:rRNA from 1 species